ACUCCGUAGCGGAGGGCAGCAGGUGGGAAUAUUGCACAAGUGGGCGCAAGCCUGAUGCAGCCAUGCCGCGUGUGUGAAGAAGGCCUUCGGGUUGUAAAGCACUUUCAGUUGUGAGGAAAGGUUAGUCGCUUAAUAUCGGCUAGCUGUGACGUUAGCAACAGAAGAAGCACCGGCUAACUCCGUGCCAGCAGCCGCGGUAAUACGGAGGGUGCGAGCGUUAAUCGGAAUUACUGGGCGUAAAGCGCGUGUAGGUGGCUUGUUAAGCCAGAUGUGAAAGCCCGGGCUCAACCUGGGAACUGCAUUUGGAACUGGCAGGCUAGAGGUUUUGUAGAGGGUGGUAGAAUUUCAGGUGUAGCGGUGAAAUGCGUAGAGAUCUGAAGGAAUACCGGUGGCGAACGGCGGCCCCCUGGACAGAUACUGACACUCAGAUGCGAAAGCGU
rnacentral:rRNA from 1 species